CUUCCCUGUGCAACAGCUAAGGUCUGUAGGCCCCCUCGGAAUGGCAAUGAAAAGACUGCAAUGAGAGUGGGCCAGGCCAGUGAUGGGACGAGCUAUACAUUUCCGAAGACAGAGAAGAGGAAAAAGGAGGUAGAGUCUGGUAUGAGGGCACCAGGGAACAUUUCCUUACUUCACAAUUUGGUGAACUGAGUAGAACUGCCUGACAUCACACAGAGGGUAAACUUCUGCCUAGGGCCAUGGAAAAAGGCAAGAAGGUCCCGUGACCAAGAAAUGACCAGCUCCACAGAGGAAAUGCAGGGCCACUCUCCGACUGGACCCCACUGUGCACAAGUUGAAAUAUGAGAUGCCGAGUAAUAAAACUUGAAGUACAGUGGAGCAGCUCUGAGAGAACAAGUGGCACAUUGCCUUGAAAUAAUACUCUCAACGCCAUUUGCUGAGUCUUCUAUGCUCUUGGCCCUUUGCACAAUCUCACUUAAUCUUCACUGCACCCUGUAAGGUAAAUAUUAUUAUCUUCAUUUUACAGAUGAGGAAAUUGAAGCUUACAUAAAUUGUCUGAGGUCACACAGUUAAUAAGUGGUUGAAUGUGGAUUUAAUUCGAGGUCUGCUUUAUUUCAAAGUGAUUCAGUGAGUGAGACAGAGAGAAACAAAGAGAAGACAGUGGUUUUUAAAGAAAGAAUGAAUCUCAAUUUUCUGAAACCCUAUAGCAAUUCCUGCCUUUCUUGUGGCUCUUACCAUAUUCUGCUGUUAUUUCUGGAUUUCUUAUAUAACCUUUACUGAAUUAUAAGCUAUUCUAUUUGAGAGAAGAGACCACACACAAACCAUUUCUGUAUUCCCCCAGGACCUUGUUCAGUGCCUGGAACAAAGUAGGUAUUCAAGAUACCUUUCACUUAUUCCUCAUAUAUUUGCUGGGUGUGGUUAAGCCCAGUAAAGAAGACAAGUCAUGCCUUCCAGGAGCUUCUAGCUCAGGGGAGAAAGUGAUUGAAGACCCAGUGUUCUAAACUGGGUGUGGCACCACAGUGAUGGGAAGUAGGGGAAGCCAAGGGGAAGCUGACUGACUGGUGGGCUCAACCAAGGUUUCCCGAGGAAGAGGUCAUCCAAAACCAUUCUUGAAGCUUCAGUAAGAGCCAAGCAAAGAGGGUGGGGAAAGCCUCACAAAGCGAGAAGGAUCAGGAAUGCACAAAGGCCCUGAAAUUAGAGAUAAGCACAAAGCCUGUUUCCAAGGAUUACAAAUCACCUGGAGAUUACUGGAGGACAAGAGAAAGGGGAGAAACAGCAAGACAGAAGGUGGCAAGGUAUCCGCUGUGAAGUCUAGAAGGACUGUGUACACCAUGCCUGCUCAAUGUGAAGAUGACGAGGAUGAAAACCUUUAUGAUGAUCUACUCCUAUUUAUGUGGACUUGCUCUGGAUUAGGGAUGAGAAGACCUGACUCUACUGUUUUCUUGAUAAGUGACCUUGAACCAGACACAUGUGCUCAAGUUCCAUAUCUGUAAAAUGAAGAUACCUGGCCUUCCUACUUCACAAGGUUCUUUUGAAGAUCAAAUGUAAUACUGCAUAAUAAAGUGACUCAUAAAUUCUUUUUUUUUUUUUUUUUGAGAUGAAUUCUCACUCUGUUGCCCAGGCUGUCAUGACCUGGUGCAAUUUCAACUCACUGCAACCUCCGCCUCCAGGGUUCAAGAGAUUCUCCUACCUCAGCCCCACCGAGUAGCUGGGAUUACAGGCAUGCACCACCACUCCCGGCUUUUUUAUUUUAUUUUUAUUUUUUGUAUUUUUUGUAUUUUUAGUAGAGAUGGGGUUUUGCCAUUUUGGUGAGGUUGGUCCUGAACUCCUGACCUCAAGUGACCUGCCCGUCUUGCCUCCCAAAGUGCUGGGAUUACAGGAGUGAGCCUCUGCACCUGGCCUGACCCAUAAAUUCUAAAGUACUAAGUGAUGUCCUCAUAUAUAGCACAGUCCCUCCAGCCCCUGCAAUUCAAAGAUACAUCUCACUGUACUUAGGAGAGUUAGAGUAGAGGCAUGACCUAACUUGUUAGCUGUUUAUCUCCUAUAGAAAGUGGUCAACAGAUCUUUGUUGGUAAAAUGAAUGAAUAUUCAUUUCUUAUCUUUCAAUGAGAAUGUGAUAACUUUGGUUAUUGAUGUAUACUUCCGUGCAAAUUUGCUCAUGCAAUUUCAACCACAUCCCCCAGAACAACUUUCUACCAUGCUAAUUGCUCCGAACAUUUAAAUACCAGCAUAGGAAUGGAAGCUACUGACUGUUAACAUUUCUCACAUUUAGUUGCUGAAUGCCUCUCACAUUUACUUACUGAAUGUGUGCUUUAGACCAUCUUAAAAAUAUAAUAGUAUGUCUGAUAAAGAGGCCCAUCAGUCCUCAAAAUGUCUUCAUCUUUUAGUGUUGAAACAAUAAUGAUGAUUUGCUUCAUUUGUGCUCUACACACCAAUGAGAUGAGCUAACUGCAUAUCUACUAUGAAAUAAUGUCUAUUAUUACAUGGAUAACUACCCAUUAACUCCAUUGGAAACACUGGUAAUUACACAGUAUGUUACGUUAAUGCACCUGUGUUAGCUUCUGAUUGCCAUAUUAUUAAUUCAAGUGACCUCUUGAAUUAAUUCAAGUUUCCCAUCAUCAUUUUCUUAUUCUGGAACUCUCUAACACUUUAGAGACUGUUGGCUAAACAAUAAAAGUAUACAGUGAAAACUAUUUUCAAAAAAAAGAGGAUCUGAUGUGUGAUCCCAUUGAUGUUUGUUGUUGUUUUUCACUUCUUUGCUUGACAUAUAUAAACAACUUUAGAGCUAUAUUCUGUUACCUUCUGUGCAAAAUUAGAACAAUUUUCACUUUGUGAAGAGUUGCAGAAAGAUUUGACCUUUAAAAACUCUGAAACACGUCUGGUUCACAAACAGAAUCACAUCUUAAAAGCCCUAAGUUUGCUCUAAAAGUGUCAAUCAAGUUUUCAGCACACUAACACACGUAAUAAUGAAAGGCUUGUAUUUGCUCCUAAAACCCAAGUUGCCUCCCAGUCACUCUGCAUCUGGUUACACCAAACUUAACUUUUCUACAGUCCAUCUAGUCCUGACCUUCCCCUCUUCUUACGAGCCCCCAUUUAACCAAAGCAACUCCAGCCCAGGAGAUGAAAACCCCAUCAGCAUUUUCAUAGUUAAUGACAGGGCUACAAAACAGAAAAUAACAGCGGGAAUCUGAAGCCAGUGCUUUUAUUGGACUAACUAACGAUAUAAAUAAAAUGGUCCCUGACUGAGCUUUGGAGAAUCACUGUCUCUUUAUCAGGCCAUAGAAAACAGAUCCAGGAGGGCAAUAAAUACAGCACAUAACAGAGUGGAAUUAAAUGAUUAGGCCUGAAUUAACACCCUGUUUCUGAGCCUCACUUAGUGUUCCAUGGCCCCAAUGAAACACUGCAAUUCACAAAUGCUCAAGGCCCAUUUAAUUUUUAUUUCAAGCUAGUUCAGAAGAAGGGAUUACCUAUAACUCCCCCCUAUUCCAUUGUGUAACUCUCGAAGUAACAACACUGAUCCUGUCUAGAUAGCUGUUAGGAAAAUAGGCUGUGCUAUAGGAAACACAGAGUCUAUUCAGAAUCCUGCCUCUACAAAAAUCACAUUAAUUCAAAGGGACCAAAUCCCUCUCUGUGAAAGUGACAAGGCUGUCCUUGAUGGGAAAAUAAUGAAUUAUUAGUUAAAUAAACUUGAUUAUUUUCCAUGACAUUAACAACAAACCUAUGCAACUGUCAGCCCAAGAUUUUUACUUUUUGAACUGUGGCUUUAGCAUGCCAAAGAUCCUAAUCAAGUCUUAACUGCAAAAUGGAAUUGAAUCUCACCUUGGAGGGUAAUCUAUGGAGGCCCAUCCCCCAUUACACCAUAUGUCACAGGAUAAGGUGGAUGAGUUUCACUUAAACCCUGUUGGCGGGGAGUUAAUAUUGUUCUAUACGUCUUCAUUUAUACAAUGGCUUUAGAGCAAGAAAUCCAAGGAUGGCAUAAGAGGAAGGCUUCACUGUAGCAGUGAAGUACUUAGAAAUUUUAGACGAAAUAUGCAGCAGAUGAAACUGAGUCAUUAAAACCACUUGUAUACCUGUGACUUGAAGUGAUGUAUGAGAUGGAGAUAUAUUUAGAAGGCAAGGUCCUCAAGAGGUAAGAGAGCUUGCAGUUUUGAGCACUUAGUAGAUGCUGUGUGCUGGUUUUUAUUUUUCCUCAUUUAAUCCUCACACUGUCCUAUAAAGUUGACAUAAUUAUUCCUGUUUACAAGUAAGGAAACUGACCCUCAAAGAGGAGUGUAAUAAUUGCCCAAGUUCACACAGGAAGUGGUAAGGCUGAGAUUCAAAUCCAGAUCUAGCUGAUUCCAAAGCCAGCCCUUUCCGUCAAUACUAUGACUGUCACCUGCUUAGAACUCCUGACUGCUGCCUGGAGCUUUUACUUGGGAUCUUCUAGAAUAACCAAAGAAACAACACACAGAAGAGGAUGAGACUAAUGAAGUAUAGUCUCAAACAGUAGGAAAAAACCCCAAGGGCUUUGGCACUGGAUGAGAUUAACUCUUAUAAAGCCCCAGGAGAUCCAGACAUUCAGUGAAUUAAGGAGCCCUCCUCUGAAAUUAAAUGAACCUGCCUGUCCAAAACUGCUUCCGAGUGUCAGCCAUGGCGUACAUGGGGUCCAGACUCUAUCAUCACCCUGAAAGGGCACCUUGAGCCUUGACUGAAGUAGAGCAGGGAGGAUUCUUCCACAUUUUCAAGAGUAUGAGGUUUGACCACACCCAAGUUUACCCUACCAGUCGGUUCAGCAUAGCGUGUAGCUGUGUAUGGGACAGAAAGGGACACCUAUUAGAUGGAACCUUCUGCCCCAACACUUUUGUACUACAAAAUAACUGUAAUUGUGGCUCAAAUUUAUGCUUAAGUAACUUCAGUGAAACAAUAACACACACAUAACUCUCAGAAAGCAAUCUUACUCAAAAGGCUUGGGCACUGAUACAUUGUGAAGAAAUUACACAAUAUGAAUUUUUUUUAAAAAGGUAAUCACUAGAAAGUUUACAGAUGAUAGAUUCAUGUUAGCAAAAGAGUGUUAAGUAUCUGUUGAAUUACAACUAGACACUUAUGGAAAGUGUCUAAUUUCACUUUCUCUGCACUAUCUUUCUGUAUUACCAGUACCCAAUAAAUUAAAUGCUUUUGACAUUCAAUCAAUAUUACAUGGUAAUAAUCACAUCUUUUCAUUAAAAAGGAUAAAUUCCUUAAAAUUUUAUGUUUUAAGAAAAGGUCUUUGUUUACCAAAAGGGAUAGCAAAAUGAUUUAAGUGAGUUUAAUUUGAAUUAUUAAUUUUUUGUUCCUCGGCCAGCAGUUCUUCAGCAAAGGUCUAGAUUAUGGUGAUUGUUCUUGGUUGUGGUUUUUUAACAGUAAUGACAAGGCCCUUGAUAUCCUCUGGCCUUGACUUAGACACAAUUGCAGGCCUCCUUUUCACCUUUAGUUUUAGUAUUAAGGAAAAUCUAUCUCACUGUCAGGAAUAAAAGCCAGACUAUGUCUUUGAAUUUGAGUCCUUGUCUACUUGACUCCACAGCAAGCCAUAGUUUUAAGCAGCUUUUUUGGGAGAUAGGACCACGUGAAGCAUCUGCCAUGCCCAUUUGCUUAUUUAAGUACUUGUUUUUGUAUUUUGAAAGCAUAACUUCAGUUUAAAAAAUCCACAUAAAAAUGGGGUAAAACUUGGAACAAAAUUAUGGACUACCAGAGGUUUUCACUUACAACUGGCUACAGAAGCAGAGUGCAAUGCAAUCACAAAGAAUUAUUCCUUUAAAAUUGUGAGGUAUCACAUCUGCAUUUUUGAGUGAAUAGCUGACUAUGAUAAAGAGACCAGUUUUACCUUUGUAAAGCUGUAUGUCUCUUCCACGAAGUAGUUCUUUCAUCUAACAUGCGGAUUGCAAUAACUUACAG
rnacentral:lncRNA from 1 species